rnacentral:misc_RNA from 1 species
GCCAGUAGCAGUUCCAUCCGCGCCCGUUUCGGAUAUCGUCGUGUCUACGACAACAAUUAUACUUUCAAGUAGUUUUCAGUUAUUUUUCAGACUAUUUGUGAAGCAGACUGUGACUUGCUUGGAGCGUGGAAAUAGUGUACCGCGUUACACCUGUGAUUAACAACAGAUCAUGUGACUUAGCAAACCAAGAUGGAAGAAGGCACUACCACAGCUGGUGAGGUUACACAACCUCCGCCAACUGACACGCAAACUGUUGAGGUGUCCACUGAAACGGAGUCUGAAAGCAAAGAGCCGGUUACUUGUGGUGACACAUUAAACCAAGAUGAAAGCGGUAUCGGUCUGGAAGUGGUCGACGAUGCUAAAGAUGUUAUAGAAGUAAAGGAAACGUUGGUGGAGAAUGAGCCGUGUGAGGUGAACGAUGAUGUGCGGUCGCUGGGCGAUCUGGACAGUUUGCCGGCGGGGGACGAGCUGGCGCUGGGUGCUGCGGGCAGCGACAGUGGGGUGGAGGGGUGCGGCCGCGCGCUCAGCAGCGGCGGCGGCUCGCGGUCGUGCGCCUCCAGUGUGGUCUCGUGUGGCUCCGGCUGCGGCUCUGAGAGCUCCUCCCUCGCCGGCGCGCCGCCCCGCCCCCGCCGCCGCGUCAACGUCACCGUCACCGAACCCAAGCGCAGCUCUCCCGUCGGGUCCUCCACGCCCCGCCCCGUCACCGCACCCAGAGGGCCAAACCUCGCGACCAGGGACCGUGCGAGGAGUAGAGAGAAACCGACUCCGCCUGAAAAACCUAGGCCUUUAACGCCUAAACCGCGAAUCCGUCCUACCACCGAUUUGCCUAAUCUCGUCCGCGAGAGCCCUGCAUUGCGUGCCAAACCUACUAAGACUUCCGCGGCUAGAUGCCGGACACCGAACUCGCCGAGCGAGGAGAAGCGGUGGCCAACGUGCGCGCCGCGAUUGUCAUCCGUUUCAGACGCUAGCGCCACUCGAGUGGCGGCUGACAAGUAUGGAACAUUACCGAGGAGACGAAGGGAAAACGACCAGGAAGGAUCGCCAAAGCAUGAUAUUACGCCGCCACAAUCGAGGCGACCCACCGUCACCCGGUCAGUGUCGUCGAGGUCAACAACGAAGACGCGAGUGAGGAUAUACGCGGAGAAGGUGUCACAGACUGUGCUCGUAGGAACUGAUGUUGAAGCGGCAUUGGCUGGACUCGUACCUAACAUUGAAAGUCGCGUGGAGGUGUCUCGCUGCCACCGCGGCGUGCAAGCAUCGUCUCGAGACGUGGAGCUGGCGCGGCUGACGGCGGCGGCGGCGGCGGCCGAGGCUGCGGCGGCCGAGGAGCGCGAACGGAGACAGCAGGCGGAGGCCCAGCUCGCUGCGGAGCGCGCCGCCCGGCUCGCUGCCAUCGCCGAGCUCGAGAGCAACUCGCAGCGGCUGCUGGAGCUCGCCGGAGCUGGCGCAGGCGCCGGUGCCGACGGGUGUCUACGUGCACUGGAAGAGCAGAUACGUGCGGCCGCCGAACUGGCGGCGAGACAACGUGCGGAGAUAGACACUCUGCGUGCGCACGCCGACAACAUGCAACGGGAGGCGUGUAGCGCCCGCGAGGCGGCGCGGCAGACAGAGGCGCGGCUCGCGGAGGCGGAGCGCGAGGCGGGCGAGAUGCAGGACUUCCUCGCCGCCGAGACGGGGGCCCUCACUGACUCGCUGCGGGACGCCGAGGCGGAGGUCGCGCGUCUCUCAGCAGAGCUCGACCGACGGCGCGCGGAGUGCCGGCAGCUGGUGCGCAUGUGCGAGCAGCGGCGGCAGGAGGCGCUGGCGGCGGCGGCGCGCGCGCGGGGCGGGGGCGCGGGCGCGGCCGCGGCGCUGGACGCGCUGGCGCGCCGCCUGCGCGCGCUGGCCGCCGCCGUGCUGCGCGCCUGCCAGCUGCCGCCCGACGCCGCGCUGCCCAGCGUCUACCACAACGACGCCUUCAGUCGUAGCGACAGUGGCGAAGCCCUGUCCCCCGAGGAGGAGCCCCGCGGCGGGCUGCUGGCGGCCGUGGCCCGCGCCCUGCGCGCCGCGCCGCCCGUGCAGUACGCGCCCGCGGCCGACGAUGAACGCUCGCGUAUCUCCGACGAUAAUGACAACUCCGCUGAUCUAUUGGACUCGGAGACUGAGCCCUGUCUUGUAACUGAUCCAGAAUAUGCGGAGGAGUGGUGGUCGGGGGCGGAGGGGGCGGGCGCUUGGAGCGGGGACGAGCUGUCGCCAGAGAGGGAGUCCUGUCCUGACGUCGACAAAGACGGCGAGUCAGCGUCGGUGUCGGAGCGGGACUCGCUGCGCAACCUGUCGGCCGCCAUCGCGCACCGGCAGCGCUCGGAGGCGGAGGACGCGGAGCGCGGCUCGCUGCUGGAGCGCGUGCUGGCGCUGGACAACCGCCUGUCCGAGCUGCUGCGGGCGCUGCGCCUGGCCGCCGCCGUGGCCGCCGCCGCCGACGACGCCGACACGCUGCGCCUCGCCACCGCGCUCAAGGACAAGAUAGACGUGACGGAGAAGAACGUAGCGGACGUGGUGGUCAAGAAGUUAGCAGAACUGGAAGCCAGCAAGAACCUGAUGGAGCACUACCGGCACUCAAUUGAAGUAUUUACACCAUUCAGGCCCUGCUUGGCGAUCUCGAGUCAAGAAUAAAGCGCCAAGACGCUCAAAAAUCAGCUGUCACAACCCGGUGAAGAAGAUGAACUACAAUUAAUUGAAGAGGAGCUGUCGUCGUGCGACGAGGCGGAGCGGCGGCAGCUGUACGGCGCGCUGGACGCGGCGCUGG